AACGAACGCUGGCGGCAGGCCUAACACAUGCAAGUCGAGCGAGGACUUCGGUCCUAGCGGCGGACGGGUGAGUAACGCGUGGGAACGUGCCCUUUGCUUCGGAAUAGCCCUGGGAACCUGGGAGUAAUACCGGAUGAGCCCUUUGGGGGAAAGAUUUAUCGGCGAAGGAUCGGCCCGCGUUGGAUUAGGUAGUUGGUGGGGUAAUGGCCUACCAAGCCGACGAUCCAUAGCUGGUUUGAGAGGAUGAUCAGCCACACUGGGACUGAGACACGGCCCAGACUCCUACGGGAAGCAGCAGUGGGGAAUCUUAGACAAUGGGGGAAACCCUGAUCUAGCCAUGCCGCGUGAGCGAUGAAGGCCUUAGGGUUGUAAAGCUCUUUCAGCUGGGAAGAUAAUGACGGUACCAGCAGAAGAAGCCCCGGCUAACUCCGUG
rnacentral:rRNA from 1 species